rnacentral:rRNA from 1 species
UUUAACAUAAGAGUUUGAUCCUGGCUCAGGAUGAACGCUGGCGGCGUGCUUAACACAUGCAAGUCGAACGAAGAUAUUUAAAAUGAGAGCUUCGGCAGGAUUUUUAUUUAUCUUAGUGGCGGAC